AACGAACGCUGGCGGCGUGCUUAACACAUGCAAGUCGAACGGGUUUAAUGGAUGUAGCAAUACAUUCAUUAAAUUAGUGGCGCACGGGUGAGUAACACGUAGGUAACCUACCCUUCAGUGGGGGACAACAGAGGGAAACUUCUGCUAAUACCGCAUACGAUCACGGACUGGGAUGUUCGUGGUGAAAGGAUUUAUUCGCUGAGGGAUGGGCCUGCGGCCUAUCAGGUAGUUGGUGAGGUAAUGGCUCACCAAGCCUGCGACGGGUAGCCGGACUGAGAGGUCGAUCGGCCACACUGGAACUGAGACACGGUCCAGACUCCUACGGGAGGCAGCAGUGGGGAAUAUUGCACAAUGGGGGAAACCCUGAUGCAGCGACGCCGCGUGGAGGAUGACGGCCUUCGGGUUGUAAACGUCCUUUUGUCUAGGGACAAUGGUGAUGGUACCUGACGAAUAAGCCACGGCUAACUCUGUGCAGCAGCCGCGGUAAACGUAGACGUG
rnacentral:rRNA from 1 species